rnacentral:rRNA from 1 species
UCAGAACGAACGCUGGCGGGCAUGCCUAAUACAUGCAAGGUCGAACGGAGAUAGCAAUAUCUAGUGGCGAACGGGUGCGUAACACGUGAGCAACCUGCCUUAUACAUCGGAAUAACAGCUGGAAACGGCUGCUAAUACCGGAUAAGACCACACCAAGGCAUCUUGGAGAGGUCAAAGCGAAUUAGCGGUAUAAGAUGGGCUCGCGUCCAAUUAGCUAGUUGGUGGGGUAACGGCCCACCAAGGCAACGAUUGGUAGCCGACUUGAGAGAGUGAUCGGCCACACUGGAACUGAGACACGGUCCAGACUCCCACGGGAGGCAGCAGUAGGGAAUAUUGGGCAAUGGAGGAAACUUCCUUACCCAGCAAUGCCGCGUGAAUGAUGAAGGUCUUAUGGAUUGUAAAGUUCUUUAAUUGGGGACGAAAGAAAUGACGGUACCCAAAGAAUAAGCCCCGGCUAACUAUGUGCCAGCAGCCGC